rnacentral:lncRNA from 1 species
UCUCAUAGAUUCAUGCGACAAUGUAACUUUUUUAGUUCAUUGCAACACACAAACUUACAGCGCCGUAAUUUAAAUUUCUUGAUUACUUUUAUUACUAUUUUUAUCUGCAUUUUAACUUUUAAAAGCCUGAAGUUUCCUUUACUUUGCUUAACGUGUGUCUGCUUUAAACCACACAUCCACAUUCUCACUUCUGAGUUGAGUGAGUUUCUAAAUUUAAGUUCUAAACACCAUGUCUGGAAUGCCAGUGCAAUUCCAAUGCCAUUUAUUCCACAGGGAGGGGAUGCUCCUUUCCCUGACCAGAAGAGCUGCAGGCUCUGGGUCUGCACUCAGGGCUAGGUCGUUGAUUGCUGUGGAUUCAAAACCGGAUUGCAGAGCUGCUGCACUUUCCAUUUAUAGUGUAUUUUGGAGUUUCAGAGCAAAUUACAGCCGCCUCUUUUCUAUCAGACCCUGUAUCUGGAAUGCCAGUGCAAUUCCAAUGCCAUUUAUUCCACAGGGAAAGCCCAGGGAGGGGAUGCUCCUUUCAGGAGAGCUGCAGGCUCUGGGUCUGCACUCAAAGCCAGGUCACUGCUGUGGAUUCAAACACGGAUUGCUCUUGGGCACAUCACACACCCAGCGCUGGGUUAUGCAGAGUUGCUGCACUUUCCAUUUAUAGUGUAUUUUGGCGUUUUAGAACAAAUUACAGCUGCCUCUUUUCUAUCAGACCCUGUGUCUGGAAUGCCAGUGCAAUUCCAAUGGCAUUUAUUCCACAGGGAGAGCCCAGGGAGGGGAUGCUCCUUUCCCUGACCCGAAGAACUGAAGGCUCUGGGUCUGCACUCAAGGCCAGGUCACUGCUGUGGACUCAAACACGGAUUGCUCUUGGCCAUGUCAAUGAGUCGAGCACACCCAGCUCUGGGUUAUGCAGAGCUGCUGCACUUUCCAUUUAUAGUGUAUUUUGGAGUUUCAGAACAAAUUACAGCUGCCUCUUUUCUAUCAGACCCCUGUGUCCUGGCUUAGCCUGCUCCCCUCUCCUCAAAGCCUGGGUACAAAUCACCCGGUGA